rnacentral:rRNA from 1 species
UACGUAGGCAGCAAGCGUUGUUCGGAGUUACUGGGCGUAAAGGGUGUGUAGGCGGCUCCUUAAGUUUGGUGUGAAAUCUCCCGGCUCAACCGGGAGGGUGCGCCGAAUACUGAGGGGCUAGAGUGCGGGAGAGGAAAGUGGAAUUCCUGGUGUAGCGGUGAAAUGCGUAGAUAUCAGGAGGAACACCGGUGGUGUAGACGGCUUUCUGGACCGUAACUGACGCUGAAACACGAAAGCGUGGGUAGCAAACAGG